rnacentral:rRNA from 1 species
AUUCCCGGUGUAGUGGUGGAAUGCGUAGAGAUCGGGAGGAACACCAGUGGCGAAAGCGGCUCUCUGGUCCUAAACUGACGCUGAGGGGCGAAAGCGUGGGGAGCGAACGGGAUUAGAUACCCCGGUAGUCCACGCCGUAAACGAUGGAGACUAGGUGUAGGUGGAUAGAACCCCAUCUGUGCCGAAGCCAACGCGUUAAGUCUCCCGCCUGGGGAGUACGGCCGCAAGGUUAAAACUCAGGAAUUGACGGGGGCCCGCACAAGCAGCGGAGCGUGUGGUUUAAUUCGAUGAUACGCGAAGAACCUUACCUGGGUUUGACAUAGAGGUAGUAGCCGACCGAAAGGAAGACCCUUCGGGGAGCCUCUACAGGUGCUGCAUGGCUGUCGUCAGCUCUAGCGUUGCUCGGAAUUACUGGGCGUAAAGGGAGCGUAGGCGGACAUUUAAGUCAGAGGUGAAUACCGCAUACAGCAGUUGGUGGUUCGCCAUCGAUUGGCAAAGGCUGGGAUCGCAAGACCAGUCGCUUUAGGAGGAGUCUGCGGCCCAUCAGCUAGUUGGUAAGGUAACGGCUUACCAAGGCAAAGACGGUAACUACGUGCCAGCAGCCGCGGUAAUACGUAGGUGGCGAGCGUUGUCCGGAAUUACUGGGUGUAAAGGGCGUGUAGGCGGGAAUGUAAGUCAGAUGUGAAAUUCCGGGGCUCAAC